rnacentral:tRNA from 1 species
CAGGGAAUAGUUUAAAUUAGUAAUAUCAGCUUUGGGAGUUGAAGGUGGAAUG